ACUUAAUGGUGUGGUAAUUUACGCAAAAGGUCCCUAAAAUGCUCUCACAUGUCAAAAAAUUGCUCAACAUUUUUCUAUGAGAAACUAGUGAUAGCCUUCCUAAGCU